rnacentral:rRNA from 1 species
GAUGAACGCUGGCGGCGUGCAUGAGACAUGCAAGUCGAACGAACGACCUCGGGCUUGCCUGGGGAAGUUAGUGGCGAACGGCUGAGUAACGCGUAGGUGACCUGUCCAGAAGUGGGGAAUAACUGCCCGAAAGGGUGGCUAAUACCGCAUGUGGUCACACGUUCAUUCGUGUGUCCAAAGCCUUCGGGCGCUUCCGGAGGGGCCUGCGUUCGAUUAGCUCGUUGGUGAGGUAAUGGCUCACCAAGGCGACGAUCGAUAGGUGGUCUGAGAGGAUGAUCACCCAGACUGGGACUGAGACACGGCCCAGACUCCUACGGGAGGCUG